AGAUCCUUCCAAAGCAUAACCCUCAAGAGAGCACAUAAUCUUGUUAACUAUCCUGUAAUCCAAUGUUCACUUUGCUUGCUCCCACCUUCAUGUAAAAUUACGGAAUUCUCUCCUUAAU